CCCUUAGAUGUUCGGGGCCGCACGCGCGCUACACUGAAGGACUCAGCGUGUCUCUCCCCCUAUCCCGAAAGGGAUGGGCAACCCGUUGAAUCUCCUUCGUGCUAGGGAUUGGGGUUUGCAAUUAUCCCCCAUGAACGAGGAAUUCCCAGUAAGCGCGAGUCAUCAGCUCGCGUUGAUUACGUCCCUGCCCUUUGUACACACCGCCCGUCGCUACUACCGAUUGGAUGGUUUAGUGAGACCCUCGGAUCGGUCCCGACUCGGGGUGGGCUUCUGCCCCGGUCGUGGUUUCGCCGAGAAGACGGUCAAACUUGACUAUCUAGAGGAAGUAAAAGUCGUAACA
rnacentral:rRNA from 1 species